rnacentral:piRNA from 1 species
UUCCAGCUCUCUAAUCUUUGC